UAUUACUCUGUAAACAUAUUCAGAGAUUGUUUAGCCUCAGAAUCAGUUGUCAAGAAUCAAUUUCCUUCUACUAUAACUACUGAGGGCCCUGAGGUCCACUCAUCUGUGUUUGGGGGAAUGAGGGAGUUUUUCUUGCCAUGUAUAUCUUUCAAUUACAAGGAAAUACUCUAAUCAAAAGUAUUAUUGCAUUUUGCACGAGUAUAUGAGAUCAUGUGGUGUAUGUGGUCUUUCUAUAAUCAUACAUUCUAUUUUUGGGGUAGCUGAAGGAAAAUGAAAGGAAGGAUGGAAAGAGUCCGUGGCUGGAUAGCAUCACAGGAAGACUGCUUAGGUGCUGUUCAGAUGGCUCUGUGAGGUGUUAUAUUUAAGAUGUCCUUGGAACAGCAUAGGGUACCAAAGUUAUGAAGGGAGUCCACUGUUGUUUCGGUCAUAAAGAGUGGAAACACAAAAGAGCUAAAUGACGUAAGACCAGUGGCACUGACAUCACUGGUCAUGAAGUCAUUUGAAAGGCUAGUUAAAGGGAAACUGUUGGGUAUGGUGGAGGAGGCUCUGGAUGAAAAUGCCACAAAGACCAAUAUGGUCAUUGAUUUUAGAAGGUAAAUCUUCCAAACCACCAUCUCAGAGCUUCUUUAAAGGAUUUGGCAUUGGAUUUGUAGAACAGUAUAAAUAUCUCGGAACAGUCAUUGAUAAUGACCUGAAAUCUGAAGUCAAUUCUGAUGCAAUCUGUUCGCAGGGUUAGCAACGUUUGUACGACAUUAGGUAGUUAAAUGUUUUUAAUGUUGACAAGACAAUUAUGUGUUUGUCUUUUAUUGAAUCUGUUACUUACCUUUAUGAUUGCAUGGCAUGGUAACCUAAACAUCAGGGACAAAAACCACCUAAACAACAUUAUGAAAGUGGCUGGUGAGGUUAUAAGUGUCUCACAAAUUCCCCUGACUGCUAUCUUUGCCCAGCAGGUUCUCUCACGUCCACGACUAUAAUAGACUGUUAAAACCUCUUCAUUCUGAGUUUGUAACUCUUCCCUCAGGUCGUAGAUUUAGAGUUCCACGAUUCAAGUGAAAUAGGAGCAAAAACUCAUAUGUUCCCUGUGCAAUAACCCGGCUAAAUCGUCUCAGGGUUCAAGAUCUGGAGGAUGGCAACGUGGAAGAGGAAUGUCUGAUUCAAACCCGGGUCAGCCUGGACACAGAAGUCGGUGUUCAUUUGAAC